GGGCCAUUAGCUCAGUUGGUCAGAGCCCCCGGCUCAUAACCGGGUUGUCCCGGGUUCGAAUCCCUGAUGGCCCACCA
rnacentral:tRNA from 1 species